AUUGAACGCUAGCGGGAUGCCUUACACAUGCAAGUCGAACGGAGUGGCGAACGGGUGAGUAAUGUAUCGGAACGUGCCCAGUAGCGGGGGAUAACUACGCGAAAGCGUAGCUAAUACCGCAUACUAUUGGAGCGGCCGAUAUCGGAUUAGCUAGUUGGUGGGGUAACGGCUCACCAAGGCGACGAUCCGUAGCUGGUUUGAGCGGACGACCAGCCACACUGGGACUGAGACACGGCCCCGACUCCUACGGGAGGCCGCAGUGGGUAAUUUUGGACGAUGGGGGAAACCCUGAUCCAGCCAUCCCGCGUGUGCGAAGAAGGCCUUAGGGUUGUAAAGUACUUUCAGCGGGGAUGCGUUACCCGCAGAAGAAGCACCGGCUAACUCCGUGCCAGCCGCCGCGGUAAUAC
rnacentral:rRNA from 1 species